rnacentral:rRNA from 1 species
AUUGAACGCUGGCGGCAGGCCUAACACAUGCAAGUCGAACGAGUGGCGGACGGGUGAGUAAUGUCUGGGAAACUGCCUGAUGGAGGGGGAUAACUACUGGAAACGGUAGCUAAUACCGCAUAACAUCGCAUGUGCCCAGAUGGGAUUAGCUAGUCGGUGGGGUAAAGGCUCACCUGGGCGACGAUCCCUAGCUGUUCUGAGAGGAUGACCAGCCACACUGUAACUGAGACACGGUCCAGACUCCUACGGAAGGCAGCAGUGGGGAAUAUUGCACAAUGGGCGCAAGCCGGAUGCAGCCAUGCCGCGUGUAUGAAGAAGGCCUUCGGGUUGUAAAGUACUUUCAGCGGGGAGGCGUUACCCGCAGAAGAAGCACCGGCUAACUCCGUGCCAGCAGCCGCGGUAAUAC